CUGCUGCCUCCCGUAGGAGUUUGGACCGUGUCUCAGUUCCAAUGUGGGGGACCUCCCUCUCAGAACCCCUACGCAUCGUCGGCUUGGUGGGCCGUUGCCCCACCAACUACCUAAUGCGCCGCAUGCCCAUCCGUGACCGGGGUCGCCCCCUUUGGCCGGCAGGGGAUGUCCCCCUCCCGGCAUUAUGUUGUAUUAGGCGGGAUUUCUCCCGGUUAUCCAUCUGUCACGGCCAGGUUGCAUACGUGUUACUCACCCGUGCGCCGGUCGCCGGCGG
rnacentral:rRNA from 1 species